rnacentral:rRNA from 1 species
AGAAUCAACGCUGGCGGCGUGUCUAACACAUGCAAGUCGCACGAGAAAGGGGCUUCGGUCCUGAGUACAGUGGCGCACGGGUGAGUAACACGUGAAUCAUCUACCUUCGAGUGGGGAAUAACUGAGAGAAAUCUUAGCUAAUACCGCAUAAUACCUACGGGUCAAAGCAGCAAUGCGCUUGAAGAGGAGUUCGCGGCAGAUUAGUUAGUUGGCGGGGUAAUGGCCCACCAAGACGAUGAUCUGUA